UAGCCUGUGUCUGACAAACAGCAGCUGGGUCUCUGGCGAGCUUGUGUUCCAGCUGGGAAGUAACAACCCCAAGCUCGCUGGGAAGCAGAAGCUCCCAGCCUCAGCUAUCUCUCAGCAGAGCUUAUUCCCUGCAGCCAGAUGCUUUAGCUUAACAAACAGUGCAGUCGGAUAUCAGUUGCAGGGGGCAGUGGCUAAGCAGAAUUUCUAGCUUAUACAAGUAAGCAAAGGUUAAGCGCAUAAUCCAGUGAUGCCGUUUCUGGAUAAUACAGAGGGUACAGGAAAAGAUGACAGACUGGGCAUAAAGAAGUGCUGCACAUUCCAGAGCCUACUAGAAUUCAGCUUCAUCUGAAUUCAGUGACAUAAAAGAUGAGAGCUGCAUAAGAAAGGACCAUUAUACAGGUUCUUUGUUAGCAGCCUUCCAGUGUCAUGAUAACACUGAGAAUGCUGCUCACUUUAUUAGUAGUUAGGAGUUAAAUAUCUCUUAGAUAUCUGAAAAGUUCCAUUCACAUAUAAACCGCACAGAAAAAGUGGAAGCUAAAACCUGCAAGAGAAAACUGGCUGCAUGUGGUUACUGAGUGACCUCAUUUAAUGUAUUCUAGUCAUUCUGUUCAACUUUCUGACAUAAAUCUCAAAGAUUUUGAUAAUUGUUUACAGAAGACAUAAAAUUAUUUUGCAUCCUACUUAAAAUAUACUCUCUCUGAAGUUAUGGAAGCAAAGUUACUCAUCUUUCUUCUGGUAGAGUAAAUUGGUACGUGGUUACUGCUUGUGUUGUCAGCAAGAGGGCAUGAAAUGUCCUGAACAACAAAUAUUUUAUGUUCAUUGAGUGCUGAAAAUGGAAAAGUGAUGCUUGCUGAUGCAGAAAAUGUAUUGCAGUUCUUUUUUUACCAAAAAAUGUUAAUGUGUUCAUAGUUAAUUAAGCAUUAGGCAGCAAAGUUUGUGAACUCCAGGCCUGGAAGAGCCAAUUGCCAGCAGUGCUGUGUGUGCAGGCUGAAGGAGAAGCCUACACAUGAAGAACAGCAUCCUAAAGAGCUGAUAAUUCAGAAAAGCCUAACUCUUUCUGUGAGUGUAACAUGUGUGGCACCUGUUUCCAUUUUACUUUAUACAUUUCACAACCUGUAUCUGACCACUUGAUGAAUGUUU